ensembl:snoRNA
AUCCUUUUGUAGUUUAUGAGCAUGAUGACUGGGUUUUUGCAGGUAUGUGUGAAAUGUGCCAUCCUCGAACCUUGUUAUGAUGUAGGCAUAUUGUCAGUCUGACA